rnacentral:rRNA from 1 species
UGGGGAAUCUUCCGCAAUGGGCGAAAGCCUGACGGAGCAACGCCGCGUGAAUGAUGAAGGCCUUCGGGUUGUAAAAUUCUGUCUUCAGGGAAGAAAAAAAUGACGGUACCUGAGGAGGAAGCCCCGGCUAACUACGUGCCAGCAGCCGCGGUAAAA